rnacentral:rRNA from 1 species
UCAGAUUUGAAAUCGUGCUUUGCGGCACGAGUUGUAGAUUGCAGGUUGGAGUCUGUGUGGAAGGCGGUGUCCAAGUCCCUUGGAACAGGGCGCCCAGGAGGGUGAGAGCCCCGUGGGAUGCCGGCGGAAGCAGUGAGGCCCUUCUGACGAGUCGAGUUGUUUGGGAAUCCAGCUCCAAGCGGGUGGUAAAUUCCAUCUAAGGCUAAAUACUGGCGAGAGACCGAUAGCGAACAAGUACUGUGAAGGAAAGAUGAAAAGCACUUUGAAAAGAGAGUGAAACAGCACGUGAAAUUGUUGAAAGGGAAGGGUAUUGCGCCCGACAUGGGGAUUGCGCACCGCUGCCUCUCGUGGGCGGCGCUCUGGGCUUUCCCUGGGCCAGCAUCGGUUCUUGCUGCAGGAGAA